ACCCGCACAAGCGGUGGAUGAUGUGGAUUAAUUCGAUGCAACGCGAAAACCUUACCUACCCUUGACAUGUCCGGAAUCCCGAAGAGAUUUGGGAGUGCUCGCAAGAGAACCGGAACACAGGUGCUGCAUGGCUGCCGUCAGCUCGUGUCGUGAGAUGUUGGGUUAAGUCCCGCAACGAGCGCAACCCUUGUCAUUAGUUGCCAUCAUUUGGUUGGGCACUCUAAUGAGACUGCCGGCGACAAACCGGAGGAAGGUGGGGAUGACGUCAAGUCCUCAUGGCCCUUAUGGGUAGGGCUUCACACGUCAUACAAUGGUCGGUACAGAGGGUUGCCAACCCGCGAGGGGGAGCUAAUCCCACAAAGCCGAUCGUAGUCCGGAUCGCAGUCUGCAACUCGACUGCGUGAAGUCGGAAUCGCUAGUAAUCCGUGGAUCAGCAUGUCACGGUGAAUACGUUCCCGGGUCUU
rnacentral:rRNA from 1 species